UACCUAUACUUUCAGGAUCAUUUCUACAGUGUCAAAGUUGAGAAUUGUGCUCGAAAGUGUUUGGCUCAAAAGUGAACCAUGAGGUGGAGUCAAAGUGUUUUCUUCUGAGAAGCCAAGUGGGCAGCAUUACAUUUCUGGAGCUGCUACCUGUUAUUGAUAACUGUUGUACCUUCUUUUUAUUAAAGAGAGUGGAGGGAGAGAACACAGACUGAGUGGU
ensembl:snoRNA U3 Small nucleolar RNA U3